rnacentral:rRNA from 1 species
UAGGGAAUCUUCCGCAAUGGGCGAAAGCCUGACGGAGCAACGCCGCGUGAGUGAUGAAGGCCUUCGGGUCGUAAAACUCUGUUAUUAGGGAAGAACAAAUGUGUAAGUAACUAUGCACGUCUUGACGGUACCUAAUCAGAAAGCCACGGCUAACUACGUGCCAGCAGCCGCGGUAAUACGUAGGUGGCAAGCGUUAUCCGGAAUUAUUGGGCGUAAAGCGCGCGUAGGCGGUUUCUUAAGUCUGAUGUGAAAGCCCACGGCUCAACCGUGGAGGGUCAUUGGAAACUGGGAAACUUGAGUGCAGGAGAGGAAAGUGGAAUUCCAUGUGUAGCGGUGAAAUGCGCAGAGAUAUGGAGGAACACCAGUGGCGAAGGCGACUUUCUGGUCUGCAACUGACGCUGAUGUGCGAAAGCGUGGGGAUCAAACAGG